AUUGAACGCUGGCGGCAGGCCUAACACAUGCAAGUCGAGCGAGCGGCGGACGGGGGAGUGAUAUAUGGGGACUGCCCGAUAGAGGGGGAUAACUAUUGGAAACGGUAGCUAAAACAGCAUACUAUCGGAUAACACAUAUGGGAUUGGCUAUAAGGUGAGGUAAUGGCUCACCUAGGCGACGAUACCUAGCUUGUGUGAGAGGAUGAUCAGCCACACUGGGACUGAGACACGGCCCAGACUCCUACGGAGGCAGCAGUGGGGAAUAUUGCACAAUGGGCGCAAGCCUGAUGCAGCCAUGCCGCGUGUAUGAAGAAGGCCCUAGGGUUGUAAAGUACUUUCAGUCGGGAGGCGUUACCGACAGAAGAAGCACCGGCUAACUCCGUGCCAGCAGCCGCGGUAAUAC
rnacentral:rRNA from 1 species